ensembl:rRNA 5S_rRNA 5S ribosomal RNA
GUUUACAGUCAUACCAAUCUGAAUGUGCCCAUCUCAUCUGAUCUCAGAAGCUAACCAGGGUCAGGCCUGGUUAGUACUGGAUGGGAGACCACCUGGGAUUACCUGGUGCUAUAGGUC